rnacentral:rRNA from 1 species
GUAGGGAAUCUUCCACAAUGGACGCAAGUCUGAUGGAGCAACGCCGCGUGAGUGAAGAAGGUCUUCGGAUCGUAAAGCUCUGUUGUUGGUGAAGAAGGAUAGAGGCAGUAACUGGUCUUUAUUUGACGGUAAUCAACCAGAAAGUCACGGCUAACUACGUGCCAGCAGCCGCGGUAAUACGUAGGUGGCAAGCGUUGUCCGGAUUUAUUGGGCGUAAAGCGAGCGCAGGCGGAAUGAUAAGUCUGAUGUGAAAGCCCACGGCUCAACCGUGGAACUGCAUCGGAAACUGUCAUUCUUGAGUGCAGAAGAGGAGAGUGGAACUCCAUGUGUAGCGGUGGAAUGCGUAGAUAUAUGGAAGAACACCAGUGGCGAAGGCGGCUCUCUGGUCUGCAACUGACGCUGAGGCUCGAAAGCAUGGGUAGCGAACAGGAUUAGAAACCCUAGUAGUCC